AGAAUUCAGAGGAUUGGGAGGUGAAGGCAGAUGCAUUUGACUCAGAAAUAUGGUUAAAUGAAAGUCCAUCAUUAAGAAGGAGCCCACUCUUGUGGUACAGUAAGAAAUGGAAUAUGUAUACAUGUGGCUUUACUAAGUGGAUAUAAUGGAAUGUCAUACAAUAAGAAGAUUCUCUGUGGUGCUGUUUCACCUUCCAUAUGAAGACAGGAACUGGAAAUCCUUCAUAUUCGAGACGCAGCUGUGGAUCCAAGAAGGUAGCUUGCCAGCAAGUCAAAUAGGAAAGCUCAUUUGUCAAAAAUACUUGCUGA